rnacentral:rRNA from 1 species
CCUACGGGGGGCAGCAGUGAGGAAUAUUGGUCAAUGGCCGAGAGUCUGAACCAGCCAAGUCGCGUGAGGGAAGACGGCCCUACGGGGUGUAAACCUCGUUUGUCGGGGAGCAAAGAGAGGCACGUGUGACGCAUUGAGAGUACCCGAAGAAAAAGCAUCGGCUAACUCCGUGCCAGCAGCCGCGGUAAUACGGAGGAUGCGAGCGUUAUCCGGAUUUAUUGGGUUUAAAGGGUGCGCAGGCGGAGGUGCAAGUCAGCGGUCAAAUUGCGGGGCUCAACCCCGUACUGCCGUUGAAACUGCAUCCCUUGAGUGCGCGAGACGUAUGCGGACUGCGUGGUGUAGCGGUGCAAUGCUUAGAUAUCACGC